UUUGGGGACUUUCAUGGACCGAGGUGCCAUCUAACGGUCCGAACGGGUUGCAGUCAAAAUCCAUUGGUUCAGGGAGCUAUUUGGGUCUUGUUUGAGCUCUGUUUGAGCUCUUUAUCGAGUGAGACUAGGAUCUGAGGUCUUUAAACAAACCUGUGGCAAUAGAGAGCUAGGUGUUGGAAUUGGUGGCUAAGUAGAGAUUUGUGCACGUAGAAC
rnacentral:lncRNA from 1 species